rnacentral:rRNA from 1 species
GAUGAACGCUGGCGGCGUGCUUAACACAUGCAAGUCGAACGGAAAGGCUCCUGCUUGCAGGGGUACUCGAGUGGCGAACGGGUGAGUAACACGUGGGUGAUCUGCCCUGCACUUCGGGAUAAGCCUGGGAAACUGGGUCUAAUACCGGAUAGGACGAUGGUUUGGAUGCCAUUGUGGAAAGUUUUUUCGGUGUGGGAUGAGCUCGCGGCCUAUCAGCUUGUUGGUGGGGUAAUGGCCUACCAAGGCGUCGACGGGUAGCCGGCCUGAGAGGGUGUACGGCCACAUUGGGACUGAGAUACGGCCCAGACUCCUACGGGAGGCAGCAGUGGGGAAUAUUGCACAAUGGGCGCAAGCCUGAUGCAGCGACGCCGCGUGUGGGAUGACGGCCUUCGGGUUGUAAACUCCUUUCGCUAGGGACGAAGCGCAAGUGACGGUACCUGGAGAAGAAGCACCGGCUAACUACGUG